CAAAAACAUAGCUUUUUGGUGAAAGUAAAAAGUAGGGUCUGCCCAGUGAGUAAUUUUAACGGCCGCAAUAUUUGUGCGAAGGUAGCAUAAUCAUUUGUCUUUUAAUUGAUGACUGGAAUGAAUGGCUGGACGGGGAUAAGCUGUCUUAUGUAUAUAUAUUUGAAAUUUACUUUUAAGUAAAAAGGCUUAAAUAUUUUAGAGGGACGAGAAGACCCUAUUGAGUUUAAUAGAAUUUAUUUAAAUUUUUCUUAAAUUUUUAUGUAAUCUAUUUAGUUGGGGAGAUUUGAUAUUAUUAACUAUAUAAGAAUUAAUAGACUUUAAGUUUUUAGGAUCCAUAUUUUAUGAGUGUUAAGGUAAAUUACCUUAGGGAUAACAGCGUAAUAUUUUUUUAGAGUUCAAAUCGAUUAAAAUGAUUACGACCUCGAUGUAGGAUUAAGGAACCUAAUUUGGAGAAGAUUUUAAUUUAGGUAGUCUGUACGACUAUUAAAUCUUUAC
rnacentral:rRNA from 1 species